rnacentral:misc_RNA from 1 species
GAUGAAGAACGUAGCUAAAUGCGAUAAGUAGUGUGAAUUGCAGAAUUCAGUGAAUCAUCGAAUCUUUGAACGCACAUUGCGCCCUUUGGUAUUCCGAAGGGCAUGCCUGUUCGAGCGUCAUUAUCACCACUCAAGCCCGGCUUGCUGUUGGUGGCAGCGCAGCCGGUCAACCGGCUACGCUCCACCCAAAGAUAAUGACGGCGUCUGCGAGGACUCCUGUACAUUGAGCUUUCGGGCACGUACAUGGCUAGAAGUCCAGGCGCCGGUCGACGUCCUCCGGGACACUUUUUACCAAGGUUGACCUCGGAUCAGGUAGGGAUACCCGCUGAACUUAAGCAUAUCAAUAAGCGGAGGA